rnacentral:lncRNA from 1 species
GGACAACAUUAAUCUCUUCUCUAUAAUUACAGUGAUGUCCUUUUUCCUAUUGGCACCUGUUACCUUCUUUACGGAAGGUGUCAAAAUCACUCCUACAUUUUUGCAAUCUGCUGUAAGUGUAAAUGUUUGAAUUUAAAUCCAUUGCUUGCAAACAGAAAGAAAGAUAGAGAAAAUAUUGCACCUUGAGUAACCAUCGGGGUAAACACCUUUAUGUGUUUGUAGGGUUUGGAUGUAAAACUGGUCCUUACAAGGUCUCUGCUUGCUGCGCUUUGUUUCCACGCAUAUCAACAGGUUUGUCAUCAAGUUACUCCAUGCACUUUGUUGUGAUGUAUUCAUAUCUUGAGUUGGAGACUGCAGUCUGUUGUCUAUUUGGUGUGUUAGUUUUAUGCAAAACUCAGAGGCAUACAGAUAACAAAUCCAUAUAGCUUUAUUCCUCACAUGUAGCUUUCAGUAGCUGCAAAUGGCAUCUGGAGUUGUCUUCUAUGCCUUAAAACCCAAACUCUUCUGCAUUUGUAGUCCAUGAGUAAAGUUGCUAAUGAGUAAUGACCUGCUUGGAGGGAGGAAUUGGUCUGAGAAUUUUGAGGAUGUGGUUCAAUUUUGGACUACAUCCUAUGGAUUUGAGAGCCCCUUUUCUAACAGGCUCCAUAAAGAUGAAAAUGCUGUGCCUGAUAUUAGUCAUCAUAUCCAAUUUUAUAUCGUAGGUGCCUAUUCUAUUUUGCAUUAUUCUUCUAGAUUCAUUGCGCUAUACAGAAAUAAUUGUGCAGUAUUUAUGGAUGAGUACUAUUUCAUUGCAAUUUUUUUAUCGAGAUUAAAUUUGAACUAGAUCCAAAAUUUCAAUGAAACCUCCCAAUCAAAAUAGGAACUACUCCCAACAUCCCAAAAAGAGUGCAAUUCUAGUUUUGUCUUAAAUUUGACCAAAUUUAUAGAUAAUAGUAUCAAUAUUUGACUAUUUGUAACACAAAAUGGGUAUACUAAGAAAAUAUAUUUCUUGAUGAAUCUAAUGAUACAUAUUUAGUAUCAAAAAUAUUGAUGCUAUUCUCUAUAAACUUGGUCAAACUUAAAUUGACUUUGGACAAACCUAAAAUGCAUUCAUUUUGGGAUGGAGCGAUUAUGUAUUAGGGCAGUGCCAAUUUGAGGUUAGGGAAUGUUCCAAGUUCAUUUUUUUAAAGAGUCAGUUAUGAGUUCCAAUGAAUAAUUUCAUUUUGAAAGAACAAUGAAUGAGUUCUGAAUUGCAGUUGAUGAUGUCAUGGGAAUUUCUCAUGUUCAAUGUUCAUGAAUGCUAUUUGUACUAGUAUUUUGCAAGCAAUUGAUAUAUUUUACAUGCAACUAUUUCUGAACUUUUAUGAAACUUGAUGUUCCCAAAAAGUGGGGAAUACUUGCGCUCUUAAAAUUGUGAGAAGUGUUCACUUUCAGAAGUGGAUUUGCUCUUUUUUGUGGGCAUCUCCACUAGUGUAGAAUUGAUGAAAUGCGAAUCUACAACGAAACCAUGCCUGCUGAAGCAAUCUUCAUAUUUAAUUAUUAUGUCAAUAUAUUUUUCCUGGACGUGUAGUUUAUCAUGGUACAUGUAUCUGGGUGUAUAUACACUGACAUGAUUGCAGACUUGAAGGUGGGGUAGUGUUAGCUAAAAUCAAGAUUUGAUUGCUAUUGCAUGACAUUUGAUUUAUUCUUUAUUUCAUGUAUCCUUAUUAAUCUUAUUAUUAGCUGCAUGUGUGUUGCAAUGCUGUUUUCAGUGUCUCAUCAUUUCUCUUGUUUGAUUUUGUUGAAGGUGUCAUACAUGAUUCUGGAGAGGGUGUCUCCUGUUACUCAUUCCGUGGGCAACUGUGUUAAGCGUGUCGUGGUCAUUGUCACCUCAGUGCUGUUCUUCAGGACUCCUGUUUCUCCUAUCAACUCCCUCGGUAACCUUGCUGCCUCCAUUUGCUUCUCUCUGCUUUUGACUGAUUGCCUUCCUCCAUCCUCAGUUAUCUCACCAUACCUGCUUUCCCUUGCGUGUGUAGGUACCGCGAUUGCACUUGCUGGAGUUUUCCUGUACUCACAACUGAAGAGACUGAAGCCCAAGCCAAAGACUGCUUGAAAGAGAUUGUAAUUACUGUAUCUCUUUCUCGUGUUUAGGGAGUCAAAUCAUGGCAGCACACCUUGAAAUUGUUGAUUUUAGUGUAUAAAUGUUUUUCUUUUGAAGCAAUACGAAUUCACUGUUAGGGUAAUUUGUGAUCUUACUUUUUUUGGAUCAAGACAUGUUUUGAAAUUUGUGUCUGCAGAAGAGCUGUAUCAUAUCUGUUCCCA